AAAACGGAUUAAAUAUAUCACGGUUACUUUGAAAAUUUUAUCGUUAGUUAGCAACUCAAACUCCGCCCAAAAAAAAACGAUCAAAUCGAUCGAAUUAACGAAAAUUUGAUCUAAAAUUUCAUGCCUAUCUGAAAAAUUACUAAUGUAUCGGGUCGCACUGACUCGACCCGCAAAAGUAUAGGUUGGGAGGAAGUCAAUUUGAGAUUGUCUCGUGAAACUCUAGGGCAUGCGAAUACCAAACCUUUAGAAAUAUUAAUUUUACUCUCCAAAUUUUCAAUCUAUUUGCUUUAAUUUUUUUUUUUUUUUGAGUGGCUAAAAUUUUGUAAUAAAAUACGAGAAUAUAUACUACAGCUUUGCAAUCCAUACAAAUACAUAAUUUGAUGGUUUUGACAAGUGACGUGGCGUUCUUUCAAUUUUUUGUCCUAGAGUAUUUUUGUUUUCUGUCUAAUAAAACCCAACGUAAAACGCCUCCUUCCCGAGGUGUCUCUCCUUCCCAAGAACCUUGCUCCUUCUUGAGGCGUCUCUCCUUUCCAAAACAUCUUCUUUUUUCGAGGUUUACGCCAUUUCCAAGACAACAGUUGUUUCUCUUUCCUCCUCUCCCAUGCUCUCUCUCUCUCUCUCUUCCCUUCCUCUCUCUUUAAUUCCAAGACAGCUUUUUAUUCCCCAGUCCUCCCCCCUCUCUUUCUCUCUCUCAUCCUCUCUUUUAUUCCCGAGGUCUUCUCCCCUCUCUCUCUCUCUCAUCCUCUCUCUUCUCUCUAUUUCUCUCUCUUUCUUCCUCUCCCAUUCUCUCUCUCUCAUCCUCUAUUUAUUCCCGAGGUCUUCCCCUCUCCGUGGCCGCUGUUGCUGGCCGCGGGAGCAUCGAGGGCCGCGGGAACGUCGAGGGCGGAGAUGUCCGCCGCCGAGGGGAGGGCCGCCGCGUGGGUGAAGAUAGCGCGGCUGCGAGAGGGAGUAGUUAUUGAAGUAGCAGGACUUGGUGUUGGUCGAGUCGCACUGCGGGCACUUGAGCGCCGGAUCCGGCUGCGGAAUCUUCGCAAGACGCGCCAGCGCCGCAGGCGGGCAAGCAGCGAUUGGGAGGGAGGGUGCGGGGGGUCGGGGGGAGGGUUUUUGCGGAGUUUUUUUUUUGCUUUUUUUCUUUUUUCCUUUUAUUUUUUUGUUUUCUGUCUAAUAAAACCCAACGUAAAACGCCUCCUUCCCAAGGUGUCUCUCCUUCCCAAGAACCUUGCUCCUUCUCGAGGCGUCUCUCCUUCCCAAGACAUCUUCUUUUUCCGAGGUUUACGUCAUUUCCAAGACAACAGCUGUUUCUCGUUCCUCCUCUCCCAUGCUCUCUCUCUCUCUCUUCCCUUCUCCUCUCUUUCCAAGACAGCUUUUUAUUCCCCAGUCCUCCCUACUCUUUCUCUCUCUCAUCCUCUCUUUUAUUCCCGAGGUCUUCCCUCUCUCUCUCUCUCUCUCUCAUCCUCUCUCUUCUCUCUAUUUCUCUCUCUUUCUUCCUCUCCCAUUCUCUCUCUCUCUCAUCCUCUAUUUUAUUCCCGAGGUCUUCCCCUCUCCGU
rnacentral:lncRNA from 1 species